ensembl:snRNA U6 U6 spliceosomal RNA
AUGCUCACUUCAGCAGCACAUAUACUAAAAUUUAAACAAUACAGAGAUUAGCAUGGCCCCUGCACGAGGAUAAUAUGCAAAUUCAUAACACAUUCCAUAUUUUU